CCAAGUACUAGCGGUACAACAUCAGAAGAUCACAUGGAUGAUGUAAAUGUAAACGUAGGAGAAGGUUUGAGUGAUUCCGAUGGAAGUGAUUCAGAAACAACAUCAGAAGAUCAUAUAAAUGACAAUAUAAACGUAGGAGAAGUGUUGAGUGAUUCCGAUGGAAGUGAUUCAGAAACUUACAUUGU